AUACGGAGGGUGCAAGCGUUACUCGGAAUUACUGGGCGUAAAGGACGCGUAGGCGGUUUAGAAAGUCAGAUGUGAAAGCCUAUGGCUUAACCAUAGAACUGAAUCUGAAACUCCUAGACUAGAGUGAGGGAGAGAUCAGUGGAAUUAGUGGUGUAGGGGUAAAAUCCGUAGAGAUCACUAGGAAUACUCAUAGCGAAGGCGACUGACUGGAACUUUACUGACGCUGAGGCGUGAAAGCGUGGGGAGCAAACAGGAUUAGAUACCCCAGUAGUCC
rnacentral:rRNA from 1 species